rnacentral:lncRNA from 1 species
GUCACAGCCUGGAACCCUGUGGGCCCAGAGCAGACUGUGUGCUUAUGUGUCCUGCCAACAUCCGCAGGUGACUGGAGUGGUGAGCGACAGCCAGGGCAAGGCCCACUACGUGCUGUCAGGUUCCUGGGAUGAGCAGAUGGAGUGUUCUAAGAUUGUGCACAGCAGCCCCAGCUCUGAUGGGAAGCAGAAAACCGUGUACCAGACGCUGCCAGCCAAGCUGCUAUGGAGGAAAUACCCACUGCCGUGAGUCAGGGUGGGGCGCCAUCUUUGGGGGAUAAGGGGGCCAAGACAGAGGCAGAGAAGAGGGCAGGGAAGAGACUGGCAUAGGAUUCCCCUCACCCCACCUAUCUAGCAGAGAACAGGGUCAGGAUGCUGCCAUCCCAGUGCCAACAGUGGCAGCCCAACAGCUCAUGGGCAUGAAGACAGUCAGUGGCAGCAAAUGCUGUGUAGACACUCUGAGCAAAGUGACCGAGUAGAGUUCUUCCCUGCAACGAAUGCCACAAGAAAAAAAGCCAAGCUUGACAACAAAUCACAGGAAACUGAGCGAGAAACUUACAGCAAAGACAAAAGAGAGAAACCUAUGGAGGAAAAAAUGGCUGAAAUUGAGGAUCCACAGCAAGGUUCAGUAGAGCAAAUAUGGCCUCGGGAUACAGGUUGGAAGAAAGGCAUUGCAGCAUAAAUGGGAACUUUGGGGAUACCUGCAACUCUAGCACUCAGAAGUUGGAGCCGAAGGGUUCUAAGUUUGGGGCCAGCCUGAGCUGCAUAGUGAAACAGCAUGAGCCUGCGUAGUGAGUGAGAUAGCCUGUACUCCAUGGUGAGACUCUGGGUCAAGAAGCCAAAAGAGAGAG